rnacentral:rRNA from 1 species
ACACGCAUGACACACUGCAUAUCAAUAAGCGGAGGAAAAGAAACUAACAAGGAUUCCCCUAGUAACGGCGAGUGAAGCGGGAAGAGCUCAAAUUUGAAAUCUUCAAGGGUUUCCCUUGACGAAUUGUAGUUUAAAGAAGUGUUUUCUGUUAGAGAGGUGGUAAAAGUUCUUUGGAAUAGGACAUCAUAGAGGGUGAGAAUCCCGCAUUUGAUCACUUUCUACUAACGUUGUGAUACACUUUCAAAGAGUCGGAUUGUUUGGGAAUGCAGUCCAAAAUGGGUGGUAAAUUUCAUCUAAAGCUAAAUAUUGGCGAGAGACCGAUAGCGAACAAGUACCGUGAGGGAAAGAUGAAAAGAACUUUGAAAAGAGAGUUAAACAGUACGUGAAAUUGUCAAAAGGGAAGCGUUUGACACCAGUGUUGUUUAGUUGAAAAUCAAUUCAAUAAUUUUUGAUUUUGAGUAGUAUUGACUUCAUCAGCUUGCUGCUUUCUUUUCGGAAAUUAUUGAAUGCACUUUUCAGUUAACAAGUCAACAUCAAUUUCUUUUGUUGUAAAAGGGUCAUUGAGGAAGGUGGCUUUCUUUUCGGAGAAAGUGUUUAUAGCCUUUGUACCUCUGCAAUCGGAGAGAUUGAGGUCUGCAGCGUAGAUCCUUCGGGGUUAGGUACAUUUGUGCUAAGCUAUAGCCUUUCAUAGACAACUUGUUGACUAUGAUCAGUCAUGUAGCUUACUCGCUUAUGUCAUUUUACCUACGCUUAGGAUGUUGAGCGCAUGUCUCUCUCU